UCUUCAUCUAGCAGAGGAGAGAGGGAUCCAACUUCAUGAGAACCUAGAAGUGGACGAGGAAACCAGAUUUUCCGCAGUUGUUAGAGAGAUUGAUGAUAGCGGCUAUGACAACUGUGAGGACAUCCUGUUGGAUUCACGUAAUGAUGAGACAUUUCAAGGUAUAUCUAGUGCUAUGGGGAAGUCAUUUACUGACAUGGGCAGAAGGAAAAUGAAUGAUGGUGCACAAGUUUCAUUAAGAUCUUCCUUCAUGGAUGAAGUGCAAUCUUCCAAGCUAAGUACCAGUAGGGAUGUCUACCAGACUUGUUACGAUGAUCAUGCGAAACAGUCAUCAGCUGAAGUUGUCCUUAAAGGUGGCUCUAUCUUAAACAGGGGUCGCAAAACUCUGUUUAGUGAGCAUGCUGGAGCAAGUUGGAAUAAGGAGGAUACAAGAAAUCAAAUGACGGAUGAAGUUGCUCAAACGUCAGUAUUGGAAGAUUCAAUGUCUUCUUCAAGAAUGAAAAUGGAGACCUCUGAUGGGGGUAGAUUGUCUCCAGACAUCUCUGCAUUGCAUGUUCAUCCAGCGGACCAGGAUAUGAUCACAAGUUCUUCUAGAGAGAAGUUUGAGGGUGCGGUGUCUUCCAAGAUUCAAGGGGCUCCACAAUCUGCUAAUUCUCGUGUACGACCUAGUAGUUCUGUUCUUUCCGGUUCUGAUGGAACAGGUGCUGCCUCAACGUCAGCUGACAAUGGAUUAUCACGAACCUCUUCUGUAAAUUCAUUUUCGUCAGAAAAAUCCACAUUGAAUCCACAUGCUAAGGAAUUUAAA
rnacentral:misc_RNA from 1 species